GCCCUUCGGGGUGGAUUAGUGGCGAACGGGUGAGUAACACGUGGGCAAUCUGCCCUUCACUCUGGGACAAGCCCUGGAAACGGGGUCUAAUACCGGAUAACACUCUGUCCCGCAUGGGACGGGGUUGAAAGCUCCGGCGGUGAAGGAUGAGCCCGCGGCCUAUCAGCUUGUUGGUGGGGUAAUGGCCUACCAAGGCGACGACGGGUAGCCGGCCUGAGAGGGCGACCGGCCACACUGGGACUGAGACACGGCCCAGACUCCUACGGGAGGCAGCAGUGGGGAAUAUUGCACAAUGGGCGAAAGCCUGAUGCAGCGACGCCGCGUGAGGGAUGACGGCCUUCGGGUUGUAAACCUCUUUCAGCAGGGAAGAAGCGAAAGUGACGGUACCUGCAGAAGAAGCGCCGGCUAACUACGUGCCAGCAGCCGCGGUAAUACGUAGGGCGCAAGCGUUGUCCGGAAUUAUUGGGCGUAAAGAGCUCGUAGGCGGCUUGUCACGUCGGAUGUGAAAGCCCGGGGCUUAACCCCGGGUCUGCAUUCGAUACGGGCUAGCUAGAGUGUGGUAGGGGAGAUCGGAAUUCCUGGUGUAGCGGUGAAAUGCGCAGAUAUCAGGAGGAACACCGGUGGCGAAGGCGGAUCUCUGGGCCAUUACUGACGCUGAGGAGCGAAAGCGUGGGGAGCGAACAGGAUUAGAUACCCUGGUAGUCCACGCCGUAAACGUUGGGAACUAGGUGUUGGCGACAUUCCACGUCGUCGGUGCCGCAGCUAACGCAUUAAGUUCCCCGCCU
rnacentral:rRNA from 1 species